AGUAGGGAAUCUUCCGCAAUGGGCGAAAGCCUGACGGAGCACGCCGCGUGAGUGAUGAUGCUUUCGGCUCGUAAAACUCUGUUAUUAGGGAAGACAAAUGUGUAAGUAACUAUGCACAUCUUGACGGUACCUAAUCAGAAAGCCACGGCUAACUACGUGCCAGCAGCCGCGGUAAUACGUAGGUGGCA
rnacentral:rRNA from 1 species